UAAGGGGGUGCUUGCCGGAAUGACGCCCAAGAAACAGGAAGGCAGGCUGAGAUCAUACCCAUUGAACCUGGACGGGUAAUGCCGGCGAAGGGAAAAAAGU
rnacentral:ncRNA from 1 species